rnacentral:tRNA from 1 species
GUGGGUGUAGCUCAGUGGUAGAGCACUGGAUUGUGGCUCCGGGCGUCGUGGGUUCAAUUCCCAUCAUCCACCCCA